rnacentral:rRNA from 1 species
UACGUAGGGGGCUAGCGUUGUCCGGAAUCAUUGGGCGUAAAGAGCGUGUAGGCGGUUCGGUAAGUCCGCUGUGAAAGUCCAGGGCUCAACCCUGGAAUGCCAGUGGAAACUGUCGAGCUAGAGUCCGGAAGAGGCGAGUGGAAUUCCUGGUGUAGCGGUGAAAUGCGCAGAUAUCGGGAAGAACACCCGUGGCGAAGGCGGCUCUCUGGGACGGUACUGACGCUGAGACGCGAAAGCGUGGGGAGCGAACAGG